CAUACAGCGAUAUAUCGUCGUUCUUCCUCGUGUCAUAUGAGUGUCGAUGCGCUGGAGCCAAAUAUGGAUAUAAUUAAUAAUAAUAUUAAUAUAAUAAUGCGCUGUAAACCCUGCCAGCUGCUAUUUCCCAGCGUCACUACUUCAUGCCUCCACACAGCGGCAUUAAUCACAUGGACGAGGCGGAAAUGAACCGGCUGAAGAAGAGUUUGUUCAGGUAAACAGCGGACAGCAAGAGACGUCCUGUCCGCGUUUAAGUCCAACAUGUGGAUCCAUUGUGGCUUCAGCAACACCGAGGGAAGAAGCACAGCUCCCCAAAGACGAUGCGAUAUGCAAGAAGUGCCUCGUAAAAGUAGAGAAGAAAGGCGACACCAGGAACCUGCAAAACUACCUGCAAAACUACCUACAAAACUACCUGCAGCGCCACCAUCCUGAAUCCUCCUACAGUCUGUGUAUCUAUCUUUCUAUACAGACUGUAUCUAUCUUUCUAUGCAGUCUAUGGUUUCAUUCAGCCUGCAGGCGUUUAAAGCAAAGCUGCAUUUCCCAGCAUUACUACGUCCAUCUCUGGGUUCAUCUGUAAGGACCUCCACCCGCACACUGUGGUCAACAAUGAAGGGUUUCUAAAAACGCUACAAUCUCUGGAGCCAAGGUCCCUCUCUAUCUCCCCACACAUCCACCAGCCACUGGAACACAUCUCCAAAGUUCUGCUGGACCAGCUCAGCUUCACCUCAGAAGAAGUGGCGCCACCUGCCAGAUGAAGGAGCCUUUUGAGAGGCAGCUGGCAUCGUGAUUGGACUGUACUUUGGUCUGUUCCAAUCCAGCUUCAGCUCCAGAGACGGCAGGCGGGACGAGUCAACGGAGGCCUGGUGGACGAAGGCAUGAAGCUGAGUACAAUCCAGAAAACAACAGUGGAGGAGGAAACAAACGUAGUAGUAUAGUAUAAAAUAUACAUAGUAUAUUGUAUAAAUAACAAGUCAAAGCAAAGAGACAUACACUGUAGAAUUGUAGUAAUUGUGGGCUGACUGAUUUUCUGAUUAUUGGUAUUUUUUACCGGUAAUAAAUACAUUUACUUUGGCUCUGAACCUUUAUCUACCUGUGGUCGCUCUGUCUUCUGGAGUGAUUUGAUUGGUUAUACGUCACAAAAAGUCUCCUUUA